rnacentral:rRNA from 1 species
UACAGAGGGUGCGAGCGUUAAUCGGAAUUACUGGGCGUAAAGGGCGCGUAGGUGGUUAGUUAAGAUUGAUGUGAAAUCCCUGGGCUUAACCUAGGAAUGGCAUCGAUGACUGGCUAGCUGGAGUACUGUAGAGGGUAGUGGAAUUUCCGGUGUAGCGGUGAAAUGCGUAGAGAUCGGAAGGAACACCAGUGGCGAAGGCGACUAUCUGGACAGAUACUGACGCUGAGGCACGAAAGCGUGGGGAGCAAACAGG